AAAGAGUGUCGGGGACGGGAGCGGAGAGACACGGAAAAGGUCAAACUAAAGGCGAGGAGGAGAGGCGGCUGGAGUGGCGGGGGGCCCGGAGCGGGGCUCGAGCCGGCCGCCCCACGGCACUCGGGGCGUCCCCCGGCCAGACGGGCCGGGCCCGGCCCAGCCCCGCUCGCGGGAGGAGCCGGAGCCCCCAUCCCGUCACAGGGCAUCCCGUGUGCUGAAUCACAUUCCUUCCAGCUCCCUCUGGUUGUCAGUGGACAAGCCCAGCUUGACAUUAUUCCAUAUCUUACAUCGACUUCCAUCAGCAACACAACAAAGUACUCCUGCCCAUACUGUCAGCCUGCUAACGUUAGUGGACCAUCCAGAUAUCUAGAAUCAUGCAGGAAAAGUCUAAUAUCUACUUUGCAGAUGAACUUCAGGUACAAUGUUUCAGAGUUUGUUUGUGCAAAACUCUCUUAACUUCUCUCCUGAUCAGUAAGUUUGAGUCUCAUUUUAGUUAUAGUGCAUGUUUGUCUUUCUGGGUUUUAGCAACCAGACUUCUCUGAAGUUUUUGUUUGCAUAAGGCUUCUGUUGCUCAGCUAUUUGACUCCUUUGAAAGACCUUGGCUGUUGCAACAAAGUAAUUAAUUGACUCCCUUUGCAGUUAUAUCUGUGCCAUGGCAGUUAUCUUUCAAAUCAAUGGCUGGAUAUAGUAGUGAUCAUGCUUAACUCAGGAGAUUUUUCAUAUAGAAAGUGAUUUUUUUUUUCCAAACAUUUAACAUGUACAUGACAAAUUAAGAUCUCUUGCUGCACUAAUAGAUAACUUUAAUGUUGACUGCGUUCACUUCAAUCCUGCACAAACACAGUGUUCAAUAUAACUCAUACUGUGUUUAGGAUUGGAAUAAAUUACAGGUCAGGAUUGAGAUUUAUUGAAAA
rnacentral:lncRNA from 1 species